rnacentral:rRNA from 1 species
GACGAACGCUGGCGGCGUGCUUAACACAUGCAAGUCGAACGGAAAGGCCUGCUUUCCCUUGUGGAUUGCGGGUACUCGAGUGGCGAACGGGUGAGUAACACGUGAGUGAUCUGCCCCCAACUUGGGUAUAAGCCUGGGAAACUGGGUCUAAUUCCCGAUAGGACUGCAGGGUGGUGCCUGUGGUGGAAAACGAUUUUCUAGUGGUUGGGGAUGAGCUCACGGCCUAUCAGCUUGUUGGUGGGGUAAUGGCCUACCAAGGCGGCGACGGGUAGCCGGCCUGAGAGGGUGGACGGCCACAUUGGGACUGAGAUACGGCCCAGACUCCUACGGGAGGCAGCAGUGGGGAAUAUUGCACAAUGGGCGGAAGCCUGAUGCAGCGACGCCGCGUGGGGGAUGACGGCCUUCGGGUUGUAAACUCCUUUCGACCGCGAGGAAGCCACCUGGUUGGAAGGGUGGUGACGGUAGUGGUAGAAGAAGCACCGGCUAACUACGUG